ACUUACGGCCACACCCUUGUUCCACGCCCGAUCUCGUUUGAUCUCGGAAGAUAAGAUAGGUUGGGCCUGGUUAGUACUUUGAUGGGAGACCGCCUGGGAAUACCAGGUGCUGUAAAGC
rnacentral:rRNA from 1 species